rnacentral:rRNA from 1 species
UAAAUAAAAUAUUUAUAUUAUAUUUAAUUAAUAUUAUUUAAAAUAAUUUAAAAUUAAUAAAGUUUUAGUAAAUAUUUAAAAUUAAUUUUUUGAAUUAAAAUGUAUUGUAGAAGUAUUAAUAAAAUUUUAAAAAAUAAAAAUUUAUUUUUGUACCUUUUGUAUCAGGGUUUAUUAAUUAUAUUUAUAUAUAAAUAUAUUUCUCGAAAAUAAAAGAGUUAAUUAAAUAUAAUUUUUUAUAUUAAAUAAUUAAUUAUUAAUAUUUAAUUAGAAAUGAUAAGUUAUUCGAAUUUAUUGAUAUCUAGUUUUUUUUUAAAUGAAUUUAAUUCAUAUAUUUAAUAUAAAUUUAUUUUUUUUAAUAAAAUUAAUUUUAUUAAAUAUUAAAAAAUUAUGGGAUAAACUUUAAUUUUAAUUUUAUUAUUUAAAUUUAUUAUUUUUAUUUAUUUAUGUUCAUAAAAUUUGUUUAUAUUUAAAAAAAUUUAAUAAUUUAUAAUUUUAUUUAUUAAUAAUUUUAUUUUUAAAUAUAAAAUAAUAAAAAAAAAUUAAUUGUAAUUAAAAUUAAUUUAUUUAUAAUGAUAAAAUUAGUAAAUAUAAAAAUAUUAAUAUAUUAAAUAAUUUAAAGUAUAAUAUAGGAAUUAGGCAAAAAUUAUAUUCACCUGUUUAUCAAAAACAUGUCUUUUUGUUUAUAAUUUAAAGUCAGUUCUGCUCAAUGAAUUAAAUUUUAAAUAGCUGCAGUAUUUUGACUGUACAAAGGUAGCAUAAUCAAUAGGUUUUUAAUUGAAAUCUAGAAUGAAAGAAUUAAUGAAAUAUAAACUAUCUUUAUUAUAUAUAUAUUUGAAUUUUAAUUUUAAGUAAAAAUGCUUAAAUAUAAUUAAGGGACGAUAAGACCCUAUAGAAUUUUAUAUAUUUAUGUAAAUAUUAAUAUUUUAAAUUAAUAUUUACAUAAAUAUAUUUUAUUGGGAGGAUAUUUAAAUUUAUUAAACUUUAAAAUUAAUAAAUCAAUAAAUUAUUGUUUAAUUUAAAUGAAUUUUAGUAAAAAUUAAUAGAUAAAUUACCUUAGGGAUAACAGUGUAAUAUCUUUGGAAAGAUCAAAUUUAUAAAGAUGAUUGCUACCUCGAUGUUGAAUUAAGAUAAAUUUUAGGUGUAGUAGUUUAAAAAUUAAGUCUGUUCGACUUUUAAAAUCUUACAUGAUUUGAGUUCAGAUCGGUGUAAACCAGAUCGGUUUUUAUCUUUAAUAAAAUUAAAUAUUUUUGUACGAAAGGACUUUAUAUUUAAAAUAAUUUUUAAUUAAAAUUAAUAAAUAUAUU